rnacentral:rRNA from 1 species
UAGUACAUGCAAGUCGAGCGAACAGAUGAGAAGCUUGCUUCUCUGAUGUUAGCGGCGGACGGGUGAGUAACACGUGGGUAACCUACCUAUAAGACUGGGAUAACUCCGGGAAACCGGGGCUAAUACCGGAUAAUAUAUUGAACCGCAUGGUUCAAUGUUGAAAGACGGUUUCGGCUGUCACUUAUAGAUGGACCCGCGCCGUAUUAGCUAGUUGGUAAGGUAACGGCUUACCAAGGCAACGAUACGUAGCCGACCUGAGAGGGUGAUCGGCCACACUGGAACUGAGACACGGUCCAGACUCCUACGGGAGGCAGCAGUAGGGAAUCUUCCGCAAUGGGCGAAAGCCUGACGGAGCAACGCCGCGUGAGUGAUGAAGGUCUUAGGAUCGUAAAACUCUGUUGUUAGGGAAGAACAAAUUUGUUAGUAACUGAACAAGUCUUGACGGUACCUAACCAGAAAGCCACGGCUAACUACGUGCCAGCAGCCGCGGUAAUACGUAGGUGGCAAGCGUUAUCCGGAAUUAUUGGGCGUAAAGCGCGCGUAGGCGGUUUUCUUAAGUCUGAUGUGAAAGCCCACGGCUCAACCGUGGAGGGUCAUUGGAAACUGGGGAACUUUGAGUGCAGAAGAGGAGAGUGGAUUCCAUGGUGUAG